UGCUUAGGAGAGGUCUUUUGGUCUUUGCUCUAUGACCCAAGGCAGAGUAGGUGGGGUGGCCACCUUAAACCUGAAAUGGUUCUGCCCCUGCUGACUUGGCUUGGAGCCCCACCCCCAUGACUGGACUUUUGAUCAAGCACUCUGUUGAUUUGGCUUGGAAGAGACUCUAUGGAAGGAGCUCCUGCUACUCUAAUUCAGGGUAAGGAUUGCAACUUGGAGACUUUUCAUUUGGAUCACUCACAGAAGCAGUAAAUGUGCUGAAUACAAACAACAGAACUGAAUCUUGGGGAGUCAACUGGUUCCUGUAAUUACAAGUGCAGAAGUCUCCCGGCCCUGGGGCGGAGCCUGUGACUCAGCACUCUCCUCCAGAUCGGUUUCUUGAAGCCACUUCACUCUGCUAACCACUGCCUUGACCCCACCCUCUGCUGGCCCUGAUCACUGGCAUUGUGUGGCUGCCAGGAACCUUCGAGCCUAAGGCUUCCUCCCAAGGAGGAGCCACGCAUGCUGAGAGAGAAGAAAAGAGGAGAAGGAGGAAGAGGAAGAGGAGGAAGAAGAGGAGGAGGGACCAAAAAUAUCUGGAUUAUAUAGGCAGGAGCCUCAGGGUGAAAAGCAGGCCAGGCCCUGGGCUGGAAAGUUCAGGGUUAGGGGCCGGGCUUGCCUGGUUGGGACUAAGGGAUUCUGGGAGAACUUGGAGGCCAGGUCUGCUUUGAUAUGUAAAAUAUGCACCUUGUCCUAGAGUCCGAAACCAAACCACCCCACCACCUCCACUUUUUUUUUUUUUAAGUUUCUUGUUUUGUUUUUGAGACACGUUUUAGCAGCCCUGGAGGUCCUGGAACUUCCUUUGUGGGCCAGGCUGGCCUAGAACUCAAAGAUUCUCCUGUCCCUAACUGCUGAGUGCUCAGAUUAAAAGCACCACCACAGCCCAACCACUAAUAACUUACUUCUCUCUCUCUCUCUAUCUGUCUGUCUAUCUAUCUAUCUAUCUAUCUAUCUAUCUAUCUAUCUAUCUAUCUAUCUGAAUACACCAGACACACCAGACACACCAGAAGAGGGCACGGGAACACAUUACAGAUGGUUGUGAGCCUCCAUGUGGUUGCUGGGAAUUGAACUCAGGACU